UACGUAGGGUGCAAGCGUUGUCCGGAAUUAUUGGGCGUAAAGAGCUCGUAGGCGGUUUGUCGCGUCUGCUGUGAAAACUCGGGGCUUAACUCCGGGCCUGCAGUGGGUACGGGCAGACUAGAGUGCGGUAGGGGAGACUGGAAUUCCUGGUGUAGCGGUGAAAUGCGCAGAUAUCAGGAGGAACACCGGUGGCGAAGGCGGCAUCCUGGACCAACACUGACGCUGAGUGAGCGAAAGCCAGGGGAGCAAACGGG
rnacentral:rRNA from 1 species